UCAGCCCCAGAAUUCCAGAAAACCAAGCUCAUGACACGCUUAACCUACACUCUUGAUGAGAUUGAGGGACCAUUCGAAGUGUCUCCUGACGGCACUGUUAAGUUUGAGGAGAAGGAUGGAAUUGAUUAUGCUGCUGUUACAGUUCAGCUUCCUGGUGGUGAGCGUGUGCCCUUCCUCUUCACUAUCAAGCAGCUAGUGGCAAGCGGCAAACCAGAAAACUUUAGUGGUGAGUUCCUUGUGCCAUCAUACAGAGGUUCAUCCUUCCUUGACCCA
rnacentral:lncRNA from 1 species